AGGGCGUCUGCAGGAGGCGGCGGCGGCGGAGGCGGCGGCGCAGGGCGAGCGGCGCUGAGGGAGACUGUUGCUGCAGAGCAGAGCUGUCUUCUGGGCAUGACGAGGAGGAAUCCUAGCAGCAGGAGGCUGCGCACUGCCGAGGAUGUAGAUGAUAGCACUAUGAUGAUGAUGGUGAUGGUGAUGAUGUCUCGUGCCCGGUGAUGGCGCGCGCAGCCCUCCCAUUUUCUCUCGUGGAAGUGAAAGACUGAAAGGCUCGAAAGUUGACAGCUCUUCCAGGCAAUUCUUUACGGGAACUCAAUCCACUUCCACCGCAGCGCGGGCCGCCCCGCACAGAUAAGUCUCGUCGUUUGUUUUUGCGGUUGCAAACACUCCUGAUAUUUGAUUUGCUUAAUAGAAGGGGAAAAAAAAGUUGCGGUGAAGUUUUGGCUUCAAGAUGACAGAGAUAUAACAAGAAAGAGGUUGGAAGUUUUUUUUUCUUCUUCUUUUAUGUUUAAAAAACAAACAAACAAAAAAAAAAAACUUUGCUCACUUAUCGCGUUGGCUAUUGCGGUUUAUGUUUAUUUGCGUGUUCGUUUGCACACUUUUCGCUGAAGAAUUGCGCAUGUGUUGUGGAGGAAAGCCGCCGCAAACUCCCAUGUAUCUGCGCUGCUUCUCAUGCAACAGUCCAGCUGACCGCUCCCCCCUCCCCCGGAUCUCCCAACCAACCAACACCACCUCCCCCCGAGGAGAACCCCUUCAAGAGGACACCUCAUACGGAGGAAAAAUCAGAAACGGGAAACUUCACUGGAUGAGAUUCUCCAAAGAAGCGUCUCAGCUCGGAGUCGCCGGUGUCGCCACGCCACGCAUGACGGACACGGCCCAAGGAAGGAGAGGACAAAACAAGGUUCAGUCCUGAACCGAGCAGGCUCUGCAGCGGGGAUGAGAGCACGGGAAAAGCAUAUCCGUCUCCGGCGUCUGGCUGAUGACUUCAUCAGAAAGCAGCGAACAGAGGGGACCGACGUGAGACAAGCUUAUCAUUGUGUUGAUGAUCAAGAAGUUCAAUGCACAGAUCGUUUGAAGGACUCUGUGAUGUGUGUGUGUCAGCAACACUAUCCUUCCAGGGACUCGGAUCUCUCUAAAGAGGCAUCCAUCUCUUGGGGUCUUUUGUGUUGGGAGGAGCAUCCAAGGUCACCAGCUGAAAGACCUCCCUUUGUGCUCUUGUGUGUGUUGCCUCCAUCUAGUGACUCAGGAUCCUUGGCCUAUUAAUUGACCUGACAAUGAUAAAGGAAAUGGAAGUGGAUGCUAUUUGUCUCUAAUGCACCCACACUCAUAUUAUCCCAAAGACAAAUGGGUGCCGUUUUCCCACUUGAGCUGCUCUAAUUUUUUAAACCCCCCUCUCAGGAUGUGUAGGGACAGGGUGUAAGUGGGACAUUAUGUGGGCAUAUAUGAGCCAAUGUUAUUUGUGUCGAGCAGAGAUUUCCAAAGUGGGAGGUCAAGACCCUGUUGUGAAUUGUAUACAGUUUAAAGAAAACACAAUUGCUGAUAAAACAUGUUGCCAAUUUGUGAUCAAUGUGAACACACAGUAUUAAGUUCUGCAUGGUGGUUUCAGCACAUCUACUCCGUAGAAGAGGUUUCUGGGCAUGAAGUUUUGCUUGGCCCAAGCCUUAGUGCAAACAGUUUUAGUGUUUUCCCCCUACAUGUGUGGGGUUUCUUCCUUUACUAUCAUGUAUCCCACACUGAAAAGACAUAAAUGUCACAUUGACUGGUCUCUGUAAACUCCCAUCAGGUGUGGGUGUGUGUUUGUUGUUCCUGUUGUCCUGACACAUCCAACAUGUACUCCACUCCACCUGUAUACUAUGUAUUUGCUUGUGAAGGAAAGUGAAAGAACAUUUAUUGUUGAAAGUCAUCGCCUGAUGUCAACUGAAUGCUUGAAGCUAACUACUUGGUGAUGAGACUGUGAAGGUCUCUGCUAUAUUUAUCUCUAAAAUGGACUAUUGUUAACAGUGUCUCAGAUAAGUGACCUCACACGUGACAUGACAAAGUCCAGGUGUAUUUACACAAACCCCUAACAAAUAUAUAUUAUUUGAUACAUUGCCUGGCCAAAAAAAAAAGUCAACCCCUGGAUUUAAGCAAAUAGGUAUAAGGCUCCUACUGGAUAAUUACUGCAUGGGAGAUUAUGUCUCAGAUGGCAACAAGUUAUUUAACCCCAACUGGUGCAAUGAGUUGCUUCUCAUUUCUUAAUCAACCAUGUGGAAAAGACACAUCCUAUGGUGUGUCAGUCUGUUUGAUAAGGGUCAAAUCAUUGGCAUGCAUCAAACAGAAAAAAACUAAGGAGAUUGCAGAAAGUACUAAAACUGGGUCAAGAACUGUCCAACACCUUAUUGAAAACUAGGAGAAAGUUCUUCUUCGAGGAAGAAAUGUGGCCGGAAAAAAUUCUGUGUGAUCACAAUCGGCGAUCACUUAACGUCUGAAAUCAAAUCAAAGAAAAAAAAACAAAAAAA